UUUUGGACAAUGGGCGCAAGCCUGAUCCAGCCAUGCCGCGUGAGUGAAGAAGGCCUUCGGGUUGUAAAGCUCUUUCCCCGGGGACGAAACGGUUCGUGCUAAUACCACGGACUACUGACGGUACCCGCAGAAGAAGCACCGGCUAACUACGUGCCAGCAGCCGCGGUAAUACGUAGGGUGCAGGCGUUAAUCGGAAUUACUGGGCGUAAAGCGUGCGCAGGCGGUUUGUUAAGACAGGUGUGAAAUCCCCGGGCUUAACCUGGGAAUUGCGCUUGUAACUGGCAGACUGGAGUGUGGCAGAGGGGGGUGGAAUUCCAAGUGUAGCAGUGAAAUGCGUAGAUAUUUGGAGGAACACCGAUGGCGAAGGCAGCCCCCUGGGCUAACACUGACGCUCAUGCAGAAAG
rnacentral:rRNA from 1 species